GUAAACACUGUGACGAAGAGAGUAGGUUUAUCAUUCCAUUUAAAGAGAAUCCCCAUAUGGUGAGAGGGGACAUUGGAUAUAGGCUGAAAAUGGCUUCCGAGUGGCGCACCGAACUUUAACAUAUGAUGGGAAAGCAAGGCUGCGACGGGACUCCGCCUGUUACAGCGGAAAAGUAUACCAGGGCUUUAACUGCCUGUGGGUGUACUUAAUGAGGUCUGCUUCGUGAGAAACAGAUAAAUUGAAGUGGUAACACGGGACGAUUUCCCGUCUUCUCU
rnacentral:ncRNA from 1 species